ensembl:lncRNA
GUCCGGGCUCAAAGGGGUCAUUUUCUAACUGAGUUGUCUUUCCAGGUCAGCUCUAGCUUUCAGUACCACUUACAAGCUUAUGUCUCCAAAGUGAGUAUCUCUAGGCUUGACCUGUAGCCAGACUCUAGGCAUAUCUACACUUAGAUAAUAGCCAUACUUGGAUAAUUUAGAUGAUUGUACACUUUAAAUUUCCCCCAAACCUAUUCCUUAUACAUACAACCCAGUCUUCUCUGUCUCAGGAAAUGUUAUCACAAUCCACCAAGUGGUUAAGCCACCCAUUUGGAGUUUUUCCUGCUUCUUUUCUUUCUGCUAUUCUGUCCCAAUCACCAGCACGUUCUCUUUUACUCUCAAAUAUAUGUAGAAACAUCUGCUCUCUUCUCUCUGUCUCUAUCACCACCACCAUCUCUUCCUUGGGCCACUCAAUGGCUUCUUAAUUGGUGUCCUGGCUUUUGCUUUUGUCCCCCUACAAUCCAUUUUUCCCAUCCAAGAGCUAGAGUGAUUUUUCAAAAUGCAAACAAGCUCAUGUCAUUGCUGUGCUUAAACGAUGUCCGAUUGCCUUGCUUAUUCUUUUCAUAGCAAUUACCCUGGACGGUCAUUACCUUGAUUAUUUGUUUUCUUAUCUAGUGCCUGUAUCCAAUAACUAGAACGCAAGCUCAGAGGUCAGGGACCCUGUCUUAUUCCUCAGUGUGCCCAUAAUAAGUCCUGAUAUGUAGGGGAUGAUCCAGACCAUAUUUUUAAAUAAAUUAAUCAACACUUUCUGAGUGGGAGGUCUUUUCACCUAAUUUCAGGCCCGAGAAAGUUUCUUGUUGUCAGCAGAAUCUCUGUACAUUCGAAAGACGAGAGGUGCUUUAAAUAGACACCGGUCCUGGCAGAAGCCAGUGUGCUAGGAGAAUAGCAUCUCUGCAGACCUUUUAUCACCCUCAGAAACUGAAAGCCCCUAAAUAUAGGCCAGCCAUUAAAGAUUCAUGAGAUCCUGCGGCGACUUAUCAGAGCCAUGGAAAUCGGACACUUCCAUCAUAGUGGACGCUUUGACAUUUGUUCCUAAUCAGUGAAUGCACAUAUUUUAUUACCCUUUCAGGGAAGUAUGGGGCACAAUUCCAGAAGCAUAAGAGGCUUCCCUUAGCACUGGGAUUACGCUUUGCUCUCCAAUCCAAACAUGGAACACCCACGAGCCACUUCCACUGCACAUUGGCUGCAAAAAGAGGUGGCUCAGACCUGACUCCCUUUCCAGUGUUGCUUCAGGCAUCUUGGUGGCUCACUGUCCUCAUUUCUUUGGUGCAUUUCACUUAAUCACCACUCAGGAGAGGUCUGCAGCAUCCUUUCGUGUGGCAACCAGACGGUGUGGCUGAAAGAACUAUUGCAGAGAAUAGGUAUGGGUGGAAUCAACCUGAAAUAAUGACAUGAUUUGACACUUUACAGAAAUUCUAUUCAGAUUUAUUAUUUAGACUCCUACAUUCAAGAAAGGCCAAACUUCUAUAUAUAGUGAAACUACAUUUGUACUUUGUCUAAUAAACACAAUAUAGAAUUUUAUGUAAGGUUUAUCCCAGUCUACUUCUAAAUGGACCUUGGGGGAAUUCACAAGGACAUCAAAUACAAAAUAAGACAGCUGGGGAGACAAGGAGAAAGGCUACCUAAAGAGGACUGGCUCGCCCUGGUUACA